AGAGUUUGAUCAUGGCUCAGGAUGAACGCUGGCGGCGUGCCUAAUACAUGCAAGUCGAGCGAACGUCAUAGAAGCUUGCUUCUAUGACGUUAGCGGCGGACGGGUGAGUAACACGUGGGCAACCUGCCUGUAAGACUGAGAUAACUUCGGGAAACCGAAGCUAAUACCGGAUAGGAUCUUCUCCUUCAUGGGAGAUGAUUGAAAGAUGGUUUCGGCUAUCACUUACAGAUGGGCCCGCGGUGCAUUAGCUAGUUGGUGAGGUAACGGCUCACCAAGGCAACGAUGCAUAGCCGACCUGAGAGGGUGAUCGGCCACACUGGGACUGAGACACGGCCCAGACUCCUACGGGAGGCAGCAGUAGGGAAUCUUCCGCAAUGGACGAAAGUCUGACGGAGCAACGCCGCGUGAGUGAUGAAGGCUUUCGGGUCGUAAAACUCUGUUGUUAGGGAAGAACAAGUACGAGAGUAACUGCUCGUACCUUGACGGUACCUAACCAGAAAGCCACGGCUAACUACGUGCCAGCAGCCGCGGUAAUACGUAGGUGGCAAGCGUUAUCCGGAAUUAUUGGGCGUAAAGCGCGCGCAGGCGGUUUCUUAAGUCUGAUGUGAAAGCCCACGGCUCAACCGUGGAGGGUCA
rnacentral:rRNA from 1 species